GUAUUAAAUAAUAUGUCAUCAUUUACAUAUUGACUUCUCCAUGUUCACAUGAGUCCGGAGGUAGUGUGUGUGUGUAACAGACAUCCACAGAGAGACAACAGUGAGUCUCCAAUCAGAUUGGGAUGUCUAGUUGGUGUGGACGAGAUGGACGAAAAGGUCUGUUUCCGUGCUGUGUGACCAUGUGACUUUGUUAGUCUCAGGACAUCUUUCCUCCACAACAUCCUGGACCCUGCAACAUUUACAAAUCUUUAGCAAUGGUGAAAUGAAGACAGAAUCUGCCUGGCUUUAACCACAAUGUCAGGGUGCUAUGUAAAGUUUGAAGAUCAUCAGUGCUGGCAAUGUCACGCUGGGUUAUAAAAUGGUCAGCAGGCAUAAAAAAAAAAUAAAAAGCACAUGUUUAAUGUUUUAAA